rnacentral:rRNA from 1 species
UCCGUAGGUGAACCUGCGGAGGGAUCAUUACCGAGUGUAAAAACUCCCAAACCAUUGUGAACCUACCACUGUUGCUUCGGCGGCCUCGCCCCGGGCGCGUUCGCGCGCGCCCGGACCCAGGCGUCCGCCGGAGGCUCCAAACUCUUGUCUUUUAGUGUAUUUCUGAGUGGCAUAAGCAAAUAAAUCAAAACUUUCAGCAACGGAUCUCUUGGUUCUGGCAUCGAUGAAGAACGCAGCAAAAUGCGAUAAGUAAUGUGAAUUGCAGAAUUCAGUGAAUCAUCGAAUCUUUGAACGCACAUUGCGCCCGCCAGUAUUCUGGCGGGCAUGCCUGUCUGAGCGUCAUUUCAACCCUCAGGACCCGUUCGCGGGACCUGGCGUUGGGGAUCAGCCUGCCCCUGGCGGCGGCUGGCCCUGAAAUCCAGUGGCGGUUCCCUCGCGAACUCCUCCGUGCAGUAAUUAAACCUCUCGCGGCAGGAUAGCGGUUGAACCACGCCGUUAAACCCCCCACUUCUCAAGGUUGACCUCAGAUCAGGUAGGAAUACCCGCUGAACUUAAGCAUAUCAAUAAGCGGGGA